rnacentral:rRNA from 1 species
AUUGAACGCUGGCGGCAUGCCUUACACAUGCAAGUCGGACGGUAACAGGUCUUCGGAUGCUGACGAGUGGCGAACGGGUGAGUAAUACAUCGGAACGUGCCCGAGUGUGGGGGAUAACGAAGCGAAAGCUUUGCUAAUACCGCAUACGAUCUCAGGAUGAAAGCAGGGGGCCGCAAGGCCUUGCGCUCACGGAGCGGCCGAUGGCAGAUUAGGUAGUUGGUGGGAUAAAAGCUUACCAAGACGACGAUCUGUAGCUGGUCUGAGAGGACGACCAGCCACACUGGGACUGAGACACGGCCCAGACUCCUACGGGAGGCAGCAGUGGGGAAUUUUGGACAAUGGGCGCAAGCCUGAUCCAGCCAUGCCGCGUGCAGGAUGAAGGCCUUCGGGUUGUAAACUGCUUUUGUACGGAACGAAAAGACUCCUUCUAAUAAAGGGGGUCCAUGACGGUACCGUAAGAAUAAGCACCGGCUAACUACGUGCCAGCAGCCGCAGUAAUAC